AACAGGAUUAGAUACCCUGGUAGUCCACGCCGUAAACGAUGUCGACUUGGAGGUUGUGCCCUUGAGGCGUGGCUUCCGGAGCUAACGCGUUAAGUCGACCGCCUGGGGAGUACGGCCGCAAGGUUAAAACUCAAAUGAAUUGACGGGGGCCCGCACAAGCGGUGGAGCAUGUGGUUUAAUUCGAUGCAACGCGAAGAACCUUACCUGGUCUUGACAUCCACAGAACUUUCCAGAGAUGGAAAGGUGCCUUCGGGAACUGUGAGACAGGUGCUGCAUGGCUGUCGUCAGCUCGUGUUGUGAAAUGUUGGGUUAAGUCCCGCAACGAGCGCAACCCUUAUCCUUUGUUGCCAGCGGUUAGGCCGGGAACUCAAAGGAGACUGCCAGUGAUAAACUGGAGGAAGGUGGGGAUGACGUCAAGUCAUCAUGGCCCUUACGACCAGGGCUACACACGUGCUACAAUGGCGCAUACAAAGAGAAGCGAUCUCGCGAGAGCCAGCGGACCUCAUAAAGUGCGUCGUAGUCCGGAUUGGAGUCUGCAACUCGACCCCAUGAAGUCGGAAUCGCUAGUAAUCGUGAAUCAGAAUGUCACGGUGAAUACGUUCCCGGGCCUUGUACACACCGCCCGUCACACCACGGGAGUGGGUUGCAAAAGAAGUAGGUAGCUUAACCUUCGGGAGGGCGCUUACCACUUUGUGAUUCAUGACUGGGGUGAAGUCGUAACAAGGUA
rnacentral:rRNA from 1 species